GACAAACGCUGGCGGCGUGCGUAAAACAUGCAAGUCGCACGGAGGCUUCGGCUUCAGUGGCAGACGGCUGAGUAACGCGUAGGGAUCUGCCUCUCGGUGGGGAAUAACGGCCCGAAAGGGUCGCUAAUACCGCAUACGACCACUCGCAAGGGUGAGGAAAGCCGUAAGGCGCCGAGAGAGGAACCUGCGUCCGAUUAGCUAGUUGGUGGGGUAACGCCUACCAAGGCGUCGAUCGGUAGCUGGUCUGAGAGGAUGACCAGCCAGACUGGGACUGGGACACGGCCCAGACUCCUACGGGAGGCAGCAGUCGAGAAUUUUUCACAA
rnacentral:rRNA from 1 species